UACGGAGGGUGCAAGCGUUAUCCGGAUUCACUGGGUUUAAAGGGUGCGUAGGAGGGCAGGGAAGUCCGUGGUGAAAUCCUAGAGCUUAACUCUAGAACUGCCGUGGAUACUCUCUGUCUUGAAUCCCGUGGAGAUGAGCGGAAUAUGUCAUGUAGCGGUGAAAUGCUUAGAUAUGACAUAGAACACCAAUUGCGAAAGGCAGCUCGUUCAACGAAGAUUGACUCUGAGGCAACGAAAGCGUGGGGAUCAAACAGG
rnacentral:rRNA from 1 species